UUUAAGCGUAACUAUAAAUUUCCAUGUCUAACUUUAAUCAUCCGUUUUGUUUGAAUUUUUUAUGAUUAGUAUUUUUAUUGUUACUAGAUGGUAAAACAUGAAUAAUAUUUUAUACGUGACUUGUAUUGUUUAAUUUUUUAAAAACUUUUUCAAAUAAGACGGACAAUUAAAAUUGGACACAGAAACUCAUGGUUGCGCCUAUA
rfam:Oryza punctata chromosome 3, whole genome shotgun sequence.